CGAGCGCAACCCUUGUCCUUAGUUACCAGCACGUUAUGGUGGGCGACUCUAAGGAGGACUGCCGGUGGACAACCGGAGGAAGGUGGGGAUGACGUCAAGUCAUCAUGGCCCUUACGGCCUGGGCUACACACGUGCUACAAUGGUCGGUACAAAGGGUUGCCAAGCCGCGAGGUGGAGCUAAUCCCAUAAAACCGAUCGUAGUCCGGAUCGCAGUCUGCAACUCGACUGCGUGAAGUCGGAAUCGCUAGUAAUCGUGAAUCAGAAUGUCACGGUGAAUACGUUCCCGGGCCUU
rnacentral:rRNA from 1 species